AUAAAGUAGUAAAACAAUUACAAACCUAUACAGUUCUCGUCUCCCACGCCAAUAUCAUUGAUAACAUUAUUUAAAGCUGCACUUUAGUCUCAUACAUUCACACAAGCUGAUUGUCACGUGAACUCUAACAUUCUCUUGACAGCUCUCGACUGUUGCCAUGACAACUGGCUAGCUACUAUAGAAAAUGUGAUUUUCGUUCUCUCAACAUUUUAGGCUAGCCGAUUUAAAAUUAGAGGUUGACCGAUGAUUAAGUUUUCAUAACAAUCGGUAAUCUGCAUUUUUUAUUUUUUUUUGCCGAUUACGGCCGAUUACAUUGCACUCCAUGAGGAGACUGCAUGGCAGGCUGACGACCUGUUACGCGAGUGCAGCAAGGAGCCAAGGUUUCAGCAUGAUAAUGCACGGCUGCAUGUCGCAAUGAUCUGCACACAAUUCCUGGAAGCUGAAAAUGUUCUUCCAUGGCCUGCAUACUCACCAGACGUCACCCAUUGAGCUUGUUUGGGAUGCUCUGGAACGACGUGCACGACAGCAUGUUCCAGUUCCUGCCAAUAUCCAGCAACUUCGGACAGCCAUUGAAGAGGAGUGGGACAACAUUCCAAAGGCUACAAUCAACAGCCUGAUCAACUCUAUGUGAAGGAGAUGUGUCACGCUGCAUGUGGCAAAAUGGUGGCCUCACCAGAUAUGGAGAUACCUAGAAAUGUGUCAGGGAGGGCUGGCGUAAUCAACAUCCACAGCAUCCGGGGAACAGUGGCAACAGUGGGUUAACUGCCAUCAGGGAACAGUGGGUUAACUGCCAUCAGAGGAACAGUGGGUUAACUGCCAUUAGGGGAACAGUGGGAACAGUGGGUUAACUGCCAUCCGGGGAACAGUGGGUUAACUGCCAUCAGGGGAACAGUGGGUUAACUGCGAUUAGGGGAACAGUGGGAACAGUGGGUUAACUGCCAUCAGGGGAACAGUGGGUUAACUGCCAUCCGGGGAACAGUGGGUUAACUGCCAUCAGGGGAACAGUGGGAACAGUGGGUUAACUGCCAUCCGGGGAACAGUGGGUUAACUGCCAUCAGGGGAACAGUGGGUUAACUGCCAUCAGGGGAACAGUGGGAACAGUGGGUUAACUGCCAUCUGGGGAACAGUGGGUUAACUGCCAUCCGGGGAACAGUGGGUUAACUGCCAUCAGGGGAACAGUGGGUUAACUGCCAUCCGGGGAACAGUGGGUUAACUGCCAUCCGGGGAACAGUGGGUUAACUGCCAUCCGGGGAACAGUGGGUUAACUGCCAUCAGGGGAACAGUGGGAACAGUGGGUUAACUGCCAUCAGGGGAACAGUGGGUUAACUGCCAUCCGGGGAACAGUGGGUUAACUGCCAUCUGGGGAACAGUGGGUUAACUGCCAUCCGGGGAACAGUGGGUUAACUGCCAUCCGGGGAACAGUGGGUUAACUGCCAUCCGGGGAACAGUGGGUUAACUGCCAUCUGGGGAACAGUGGGUUAACUGCCAUCAGGGGAACAGUGGGUUAACUGCCAUCCGGGGAACAGUGGAUUAACUGCCAUCCGGGGAACAGUGGGUUAACUGCCAUUCGGGGAACAGUGGGUUAACUGCCAUCCGGGGAACAGUGGGUUAACUGCCUUGCUCUGUGGCAGAAUGACAGGUUUUUACCUUGUCAGCUCAGGGAUUCGAUCCAGCAACCUUUCAGUUACUGGCCCAACACCCCCACCCAUCAGGCUAGAUACUGACUGGUUCUCUUAUCCAUGCCCCUACCUUUAAGUUAUGUGACCAUUUCCAGUCAUGUAAUAUCCAUAGAUUAUGGCCUAAUGAAUUUAGUUCAAUUUACAGAUUUUCUUAUAUGAACUGUAACUCAGUAAAAUCUUUGAAAUUGUUGCAUUUUGUAUCUAUGUUUUUGUUUAGUAUACUUUCACACUAUGAGCGUUGGAAUAAUAUUGUGAAAUUGUGAAAAUGAUGAUAAUGCCGUUUUAGUGUAAAAGCUGUUUGAAAAGACUGCCUGAAAUGUCAGCCUGUGUCGGUGGGAUGUAAAUUAUUUAAUAGACCAAUAAGAGAGAGUUCCAAACCUCUCUGCCAAUAACAGCUAGUUUUCAGUUUCCCCCUCCCCACUCAGACCACUCCCAGAAAGUCCUAGACAAAUUCUUGCUUGAAACAUUGCUAUUUUCUAUUAAGCUAUUUUUUUUUGUUGCUGACCAUUUUAAUUUAAAACAGUCACAGGAAGGUACUUACAUAUUUACUAGUGAGAUAAAAACAGAUGAAUUGGACCUUUU
rnacentral:lncRNA from 1 species